GUGGAUAAUUGCAAUGCGCUAAUGAACAUUCAUAAGGGUCCACACAAAUCGUUGUAGUAAGGCUAUAAGCCCAUUUUUUCCUUCAGUAUUCCGAGCAUCCCUUAACAUGUUGCAAUAUUAACGAUAAAACAAUUUUAUAUCGCAAAAAUUCCAAUAUAAAAUAUAAAAAUAACUAAAUCUCUGAAGAUGCUCGGUCGGGCGGUAAAUUUAUAUUUUAUAACAAAAUACAAAAAUAUAUCAACGCGGAA
rnacentral:lncRNA from 1 species